rnacentral:rRNA from 1 species
UACGGGGGGUGCAAGCGUUAAUCGGAAUCACUGGGCGUAAAGGGUGCGUAGGCGGUGAGUGAAGUCUGCUGUGAAAUCCCUGGGCUCAACCUGGGAAUGGCGGUAGAAACCGGCGCACUAGAGUAUGGGAGAGGGUGGUGGAAUUCCAGGUGUAGCGGUGAAAUGCGUAGAGAUCUGGAGGAACAUCAGUGGCGAAGGCGGCCACCUGGCCCAAUACUGACGCUGAGGCACGAAAGCGUGGGGAGCAAACAGG